rnacentral:misc_RNA from 1 species
AUUCAUCAAAGGGAAAGCAGGCCAUAUUCCAGAAACUAAGCAGGAUAUAGAACUUAUAAGAAAUGGUUUAGAUGGGCAAUUUGUUGUUGAAGCUGAUGUAAGAGUUCAAGGCUUUAAGCGCGGAACUGAGAACCUAAUGAGGAGUUUGCAGACGAUAUCUUCUUUGCUGCAGAAGAAGUCCAGUUCAGUUGCGUCAAAAUUUGAGUUGCCAUGCACUAAUGCUGAUGGUUCUGCAAAACUAAAUCAUCAAACUUCAGAGGUGAGCUGCGACUUAAAUCAGGGACAAUUGUUCCAUUUUUUUGAUAUAGGUGGUUCUAGGAUUUGGGUUGACUUUAUAGACAUGUUUUCAAUCACCAAUACUAUUAUUGGUUUUUCCUUUCAUCUGUAUAGGAAACCUUAAAAGUCGAGCUCAAAGCAGAAACUUUGCUUACAAGUCUGUUAAGAGAGAAACUGUAUACUAAAGAGAUGGAGGUUGAGCAGUUACAGGCAGAACUGGCAGCAGCAGUGAGAGGUAAUGAAAUCCUCAAAUGUGAAGUCCAGAAUGCAAUGGACAAACUUUCCUGUGUCAGCCAUGAGUUGAAAGACUUUGAACUUCAGAUGCGGAAGAAGGAUGAGAAUAUGAGUCGGCUUCAAAAUGACCUUCAAGAAUCAAUGAAGGAGCUAACAAUAAUAAGGGGUAUUCUACCCAAAGUUUCAGAGGAGAGAGAUAUGAUGUGGGAGGAAGUGAAGCAAUACAAU